rnacentral:ncRNA from 2 species
UAUAUUACAGGACUUCAAGUUUUUAAUUCUAAGGGAUAAGCCUAUGGAUACAAAACCAAUGAGUAUGUCAUGAAAAUGAUGUGCUUUCCGUGCUUGAGAAGAAGGCCAUUGCAAAUGUUU